AUGUCCCAGGCACGGAAGGGAGCAGCACGG
rnacentral:SRP_RNA from 15 species